AGAGUGAACGCUGGCGGUAGGCCUAACACAUGCAAGUCGAACGGCAGCACAGUAGGAGCUUGCUCUUACGGGUGGCGAGUGGCGGACGGGUGAGGAAUACAUCGGAAUCUACCUUUUGGUGGGGGAUAACGUAGGGAAACUUACGCUAAUACCGCAUACGCCCUUCGGGGGAAAGCCGGGGACCAGCAAUGGCCUGGCGCUGAUAGAUGAGCCGAUGUCGGAUUAGCUAGUUGGUGAGGUAAUGGCUCACCAAGGCGACGAUCCGUAGCUGGUCUGAGAGGAUGAUCAGCCACACUGGAACUGAGACACCGGUCCAGACUCCUACGGGAGCAGCAGUGGGGAAUUA
rnacentral:rRNA from 1 species